rnacentral:rRNA from 1 species
UUUCCUACGGGGCGCAGCAGUGGGGAAUAUUGCACAAUGGGGGGAACCCUGAUGCAGCGACGCCGCGUGAAGGAAGAAGUAUUUCGGUACGUAAACUUCUAUCAGCAGGGAAGAAAAAGGACGGUACCUGACUAAGAAGCCCCGGCUAACUACGUGCCAGCAGCCGCGGUAAUACGUAGGGGGCAAGCGUUAUCCGGAAUUACUGGGUGUAAAGGGAGCGUAGACGGUUAAGUAAGUCUGGAGUGAAAGGCCGGGGCCCAACCCCGGGACUGCUCUGGAAACUAUUCAACUUGAGUGCAGGGGAG